rnacentral:rRNA from 1 species
GAUGAACGCUGGCGGCGUGCCUAAUACAUGCAAGUCGAGCGAACAGAUGCUGAUCUUGCUCCUCUGACGUUAGCGGCGGGCGUGUGAGUCACACGUGUAUAACCUACCUAUAAGACUGGGAUCACUUCGGAAAACCGGAGCUAAUACCGGAUAAUAUAUUGAACCGCGUGGUUCAAUGGUGAAAGACGGUUGUGCUGUCACUUAUAGAUGCAUCCCGGCCGUAUUAGCUAGUUGGGACGGUAACGGCUUACCAAGGGUACGAUGCGUAGACGACCUGAGAGGGUGAUAGGCCACAUGGGAAGGGAGCCGGGGACAAGACGCCUACGGGAGGCAGCAGUCGGGAACCUGCCGCAACGGGCGAAAGUCUGACGGAGCAAGGCGGAGUCAGUGACGAAGGUGUCCGGAUCGUAAAACUCGGUUACUAGUGAAGAACAAAUGUGUAAGGAAACAUGGACGGCGUGACGGUAACGAAUAAGAAAGCCACGGCUAACUACGUG